rnacentral:miRNA from 1 species
UGAGGCAGGAGAAUCGCUUGAACCCAGGAGGUGGAGGUUGCAGUGAGCCGAGAUCGAGCCACUGUACUUCAGCCUGGGUGACACAGAGAGAUUCCAUCUC